GCAAAAUGUGCUAUCCCGGAGCGGUUAAAAUCCUAGCAUUAUGUCAGGCAAAAGCGUCCAGCUGACUGCAGCUUGGGAAAUACAUCAAUAAGUGCAAGGCUGGCAGGAGGAGGAAUCCACCACAAGUUCCAUCUGCUGCUGGUUAGAUAGAGAAGCAGGGAAUCCCAAGACUCUCAGCCUUUGGUGGGCAGACUGCCUUCUCGGGCCCCUCGGGCCAGCUUUCCUCCCGUGCUUGGGCCAAUUGCAUUUUGGAGCCUUUCUCUCUCUGCUUUGGGAGGUUUGCUGCCUUUCCCCCCUUCUCCCCACCUCUCUUUCUUCACCGACUUUCUUUCCUUUACAGAUUCUGUUUCUUUUCUUCAAAUCUUUCUUCUCUUAUUUUCUUUACUGGGUGCAGCGGAGAAGGAGGCAGAUCCGUCUGGAGAACUUGAAAAAGGAGCCCCGUACGUUAUUUCUGGCUCUUGUUUCUUGUUUGUCCUCCUUUGGUCUUCGUUCCUCUCCGCAUUAUUUCAUUCUUUGGCUCGGUCAGGGAAGGAACCAGAGAGCAGAGCAGGCAGUUGGUCUGAAAGCAGUGGGUCGCGCGUUUCUUUGCUUUCGCUGAGUAAUGCUGGGUGUUCCUUGUUCUUGUGGAUCCAGCUUCACACCAAGCCAGGAUGGAUUGUCGCAGGAAGCAGCCCAUGGGGGCCCCUUCUUUGUGAGCAGUCCCAGCACCUCCCUUCCUAAUCAGGGCUUCUCCCAAGAUCUCGGCAGGAAAGAAAACGAUGUAGGGCAAACUUAAGGUCUGUGCCCCAGGCCGGCUCUUAGGGGAGACCCGGCUGCUGAAAACGGUGCUGCCGAGACAUGGGACUGUGGGGUGCUCCUCAAUCCUGCCUUUGGGUGAGUCCUCAGAGGGUCCCACACAAAAGCCUUCAGGCAUUUGCUGCUCGUAGCAGCAGAGCUUGGAAAGAGGUUCAGGAAUUAAAUGUGUGUUGGGGAAAAUCUCCUUUGAGCCAGGUGCCGGAUGGUCAGAUGCAGAGAGCCGCGGCGGCUGCUGCUGCUUCUCCCCAGUCUGCAGAGGACUGGAGCUCACUGGGGCCAUCGGCGGGCCCCCCUCUGAGAAGGAAGAGGUCGGUGAAGUUUGUGGAGUUCAAGAGCAACACAGCCAGCCUGUAUGUGGGAGGUCGCGAUGGUUUUGUCCCCCGCCUGUCAAGAACGGAGUCCAAGCACACCCAGUAUUGCCAGCACCUUGCCAGCCGGAAGGAGGCCGCCCCACUUCCUCAGAAGGAGCCUCCGGCCGUCAGCAGGGACCUCUGGACCCAGGAAGCAGCCAAGGAGCUCGAGGAGGAAACCCUCCCACAGUUCCUAUCCCCUCCCGGACACCCUCCGCCUCCUCCCCCCUCCCCCCUGAUCUCCGAGAGCAACGGCCACCCUUCUCCCUAAAUCCAGCUUGAAGCAGCGGUGGGGUGUGUGUGUGGUUUACGUAGGCUGUACCCUUCUCCAUGGACGCCUGUUUCUCGUUCUCAGAAGAGUAUUUCGGUGCCCUUGAGUGUAGCAUAAUUAAAAAUCUUGCUCCUUCAGUUGGCUGCGUGUGUGGCCUUUGCCCCUCACCCCCCCCCGAAGGAGAGUUCCGCCUCUAGGAAUAGCUCGUUUUGAGAGCAUCAAGGCAGGGAGAAGCCAGCGGAGACACACGGAGGAAUAAACCAAGCUCGUUAGGCA
ensembl:lncRNA